CCUCAGUUCCCACAUGCAUCAGAACCUAUUUUUAAUCUCUAUAACAACGACAUUUGCAUUGAAAACAUUUUCCUUUGACAAUGUCAGGACAGCACCUCUGCAUGUCAACUUUCAGUUUCAUGUCAGCUGGGUUGGACACCUGCUUAAUCUGUUGAAUAGAGAUUAUCCUUCCUCUAUUAGGGCCAACACUUUCAUUUGUCUGUCAAUGUAAGAGGCAUCCAACUGCAUCAAUUAAAACCACAUUAAGGGGGGAAACAAAUUAAUCUCGUGAAUAUAAAAAAACAGCCUGUGGUUUAUUGUGCAGCUUGGCCGGAGUUGGGCGGGGCUUCGGGAUCGGAUCACCUGCGGAAAUCUGCUGAGGAAGAGGAGAGCGCAACAAACAACCGCAGCUCACUUAACAUGAAGAUACUUCUCACAGUCUUUUCAUUACUGCUUAUGGACUUAAUAUCACAUGUAAAUGCGUCGAUUUCUCUUGCUCCAGAGGACUUGGAUGGAUCAGGAUAUGACAUGGGCAGUUCUGGCUCUGGACCAGAGGAUUGGCCUGUACAAGGCGGCAGUUCGUCAGGAAGAUCCACCAUGAACGAUGCCACCGCCAACCGGGGAGACAGGGUUAUUGCAGCAAAACCGGGAUGUGAAGCCAAAAUUAAUUUCCAUGAUGUUUCAGACAAAACCUCAGCAUCUGGCAAAGUGGCAAAAACCAAGAGCUUUUUUGAGAACAAAGAGAUCCUUGCAGGUAUCAUCGCAGGAGGUGUUACGGGACUGACACUGGCUACUGCUUUGGCAGCGAUUUUAAUCAACAAAUGGCAGAAGAAACCUGUUGCAGUGUAUACUUUUGCGCAGCAGAAGGCUUCAAAUGGACUAUAUUAAGAAACCUAAGAGCAAGGAAUGUAUUGCUCAAGUAUCUUCGCCUUUGAAGACUGUCAGGCAGAGUAUUCCCUGUCUGAGGCAGCAGAGCUAAAUCAGUUUUUAUAAUGAAGAAACUGAGUGCGUGUGAAUUUAUUUUCUCUUCAAAAAUAUUUUGGAAAGAAUGUCGCGUUCCAAUAAUAUGCCAGUUAUUCUCAUAAUGUAUGUAAAAGAGAUUCUGUAUUAAAUGUAUCUAUUGUUUAUAGGCAAUGUGUAUAUAAAGAUUAUGUUUUGUUUAUUUGAAAGUCAUUUAACAAGCCAUAUUGUACAGACACAUAUUCCCCAUCUCAGUGCAAGUCUAUUGCAAUUAGUAUGCUGUGUGUCAUAGAGUUGUCCCUUUUAUUUUUAUGUUUAAUGAAUAAAGAUGAUCUGGGAAAUCUUGAAAAUCAGCAGUUGAUUUUCUGUUGUUUUAUAAGAUAAGAUAAGAUAAGAUAAGAUAUUCCUUUAUUAGUCCCACGGUGGGGAAAUUUCACAAUUAUAAUGAAAGAUCAUGCUAUAUAUUAACCUGUGUGUGCUGUACAUUGAC
rnacentral:lncRNA from 1 species